AAAAAAGGUAAGCUACUAAGAGCGAAUGGUGGAUGCCUUGACUGGUAAAGGCGAUGAAGGACGUACUAGACUGCGAUAAGCUACGGGGAGCUGUCAAGAAGCUUUGAUCCGUAGAUUUCCGAAUGGGGCAACCCAAUGUAUAGAGAUAUACAUUACCUAUAUAGGAGCAAACGAGGGGAAUUGAAACAUCUUAGUACCCUCAGGAAAAGAAAUCAAUAGAGAUUGCGUCAGUAGCGGCGAGCGAAAGCGCAAGAGGGCAAACCCAGUGCUUGCACUGGGGGUUGUAGGACUGCAAUGUGCAAGAGGUGAGUUUAGCAGAACAUUCUGGAAAGUAUAGCCAUAGAGGGUGAUAGUCCCGUAUGCGAAAAACAAACCUUAGCUAGCAGUAUCCUGAGUAGGGCGGGACACGAGAAAUCCUGUCUGAAGCUGGGUCGACCACGAUCCAACCCUAAAUACUAAUACCAGAUCGAUAGUGCACAAGUACCGUGAGGGAAAGGUGAAAAGAACUGAGGUGAUCAGAGUGAAAUAGAACCUGAAACCAUUUGCUUACAAUCAUUCAGAGCCCUAUGUAGCAAUACAGGGUGAUGGACUGCCUUUUGCAUAAUGAGCCUGCGAGUUGUGGUGUCUGGCAAGGUUAAGCAAACGCGAAGCCGUAGCGAAAGCGAGUCUGAAUAGGGCGCUUAGUCAGAUGCUGCAGACCCGAAACGAAGUGAUCUAUCCAUGAGCAAGUUGAAGCUAGUGUAAGAACUAGUGGAGGACUGAACCCAUAGGCGUUGAAAAGCCCCGGGAUGACUUGUGGAUAGGGGUGAAAGGCCAAUCAAACUUCGUGAUAGCUGGUUCUCUCCGAAAUAUAUUUAGGUAUAGCGUUGUGUCGUAAUAUAAGGGGGUAGAGCACUGAAUGGGCUAGGGCAUACACCAAUGUACCAAACCCUAUCAAACUCCGAAUACCUUAUAUGUAAUCACAGCAGUCAGGCGGCGAGUGAUAAAAUCCGUCGUCAAGAGGGAAACAACCCAGACUACCAGCUAAGGUCCCUAAAUCUUACUUAAGUGGAAAACGAUGUGAAGUUACUUAAACAACCAGGAGGUUGGCUUAGAAGCAGCCAUCCUUUAAAGAAAGCGUAAUAGCUCACUGGUCUAGUGAUUUUGCGCGGAAAAUAUAACGGGGCUAAAGUAA
rnacentral:rRNA from 1 species